CACGUAGGGCGCGAGCGUUGUCCGGAAUUAUUGGGCGUAAAGAGCUCGUAGGCGGCCUGUUGCGUCCGCUGUGAAAGCCCGGGGCUUAACCCCGGGUCGGCAGUGGAUACGGGCAGGCUAGAGGUAGGUAGGGGAGAAUGGAAUUCCCGGUGUAGCGGUGAAAUGCGCAGAUAUCGAGAGGAACACCGGUGGCGAAGGCGGCCAACUGGACGAAUACUGACGCUGAGACACGAAAGCGUGGGGAGCAAACAGG
rnacentral:rRNA from 1 species